AUACGGAGGGUGCAAGCGUUAUUCGGAAUCACUGGGCGUAAAGGACGCGUAGGCGGGUUGGCAAGUCAGAUGUGAAAUCCUACAGCUUAACUGUAGAACUGCAUUUGAAACUGCUAACCUAGAGUAUGGGAGGGGGAGAUGGAAUUAGUGGUGUAGGGGUAGAAUCCGUAGAUAUCACUAGGAAUACCGAAAGCGAAGGCGAUCUCCUGGAACAUAACUGACGCUAAGGCGUGAAAGCGUGGGGAGCAAACAGGAUUAGAAACCCUAGUAGUCC
rnacentral:rRNA from 1 species